rnacentral:rRNA from 1 species
GACGAACGCUGGCGGCGUGCCUAAUACAUGCAAGUAGAACGCACAGUAUAUACCGUAGCUUGCUACACCAUAGACUGUGAGUUGCGAACGGGUGAGUAACGCGUAGGUAACCUGCCUGGUAGCGGGGGAUAACUAUUGGAAACGAUAGCUAAUACCGCAUAAUAUUAAUUAUUGCAUGAUAAUUGAUUGAAAGAUGCAACUGCAUCACUACCAGAUGGACCUGCGUUGUAUUAGCUAGUAGGUGAGGUAACGGCUCACCUAGGCGACGAUACAUAGCCGACCUGAGAGGGUGAUCGGCCACACUGGGACUGAGACACGGCCCAGACUCCUACGGGAGGCAGCAGUAGGGAAUCUUCGGCAAUGGACGAAAGUCUGACCGAGCAACGCCGCGUGAGUGAAGAAGGUUUUCGGAUCGUAAAGCUCUGUUGUAAGAGAAGAACGGGUGUGAGAGUGGAAAGUUCACACUGUGACGGUAUCUUACCAGAAAGGGACGGCUAACUACGUGCCAGCAGCCGCGGUAAUACGUAGGUCCCGAGCGUUGUCCGGAUUUAUUGGGCGUAAAGCGAGCGCAGGCGGUUAGAUAAGUCUGAAGUUAAAGGCUGUGGCUUAACCAUAGUACGCUUUGGAAACUGUUUAACUUGAGUGCAGAAGGGGAGAGUGGAAUUCCAUGUGUAGCGGUGAAAUGCGUAGAUAUAUGGAGGAACACCGGUGGCGAAAGCGGCUCCCUGGUCUGUAACUGACGCUGAGGCUCGAAAGCGUGGGGAGCGAACAGG